UGAAGGUCAGGCUGAAGACCUUACCCGAUUAGCUGAGAGGUGGUGCAUGGCCGUCGUCAGUUCGUACUGUGAAGCAUCCUGUUAAGUCAGGCAACGAGCGAGACCCACGUCCACAGUUGCCAGCAUACCCCUCCGGGGUGAUGGGUACACUGUGGAGACCGCCGCUGCUAAAGCGGAGGAAGGAGUGGGCAACGGUAGGUCAGUAUGCCCCGAAUCUCCCGGGCUACACGCGGGCUACAAUGGUUGGUACAAUGGGCAUCUACCCCGAAAGGGGAAGGAAAUCUCUUAAAGCCAAUCGUAGUUCGGAUUGAGGGCUGCAACUCGCCCUCAUGAAGCUGGAAUCCGUAGUAAUCGCGUUUCAACAGAACGCGGUGAAUACGUCCCUGCUCCUU
rnacentral:rRNA from 1 species